CUAAAGGACACAAUAAGAGGCAUCAUAAGGUAAGUCAGGUUAUUGAUGGAAUCACAGGUGAGCAAGAACAUCAACAACCAGUUGAAGCAACAGAUCCUAUGGAUAUAGUUGAUCCCCAGGUUUUGCAAGCACAUUUUGAAAUGGUUGAUAGUUUAGUUGGAGCUAACCAGCAAGUAGGAGACAUUAGACAAGGCCAGAAUG